GGAGGGAUGGCAGAGUGGUAAUGCAGCAGAUUGCUAAUCUGUGACCCCAGUUUGGGGUCCCAGGGUUCGAGUCCCUGUCCCUCCGCCA
rnacentral:tRNA from 1 species